AGUCAGAGGUCAGAGGUCGGAAGUCGGAUGUCUGAUGCUAGAUCUCGGAUGGCAACCGUCUUAUGCAUUGAUUUUGACGGAUCUUUCAUCAUCCUCUGUUUCUGGUUUGUGACAUCUGGCUUCCGUCAGCGGCGAACGGGUGAGUAACACGUAGGCAACCUGCCUCAAAGACCGGGAUAACUUCGGGAAACCGAAGCUAAUACCGGAUAGGAACCGCGCUCGCAUGAGCGCGGUUGGAAAGCACGUGAUGCGCUUUGAGAGGGGCCUGCGGCGCAUUAGCUGGUUGGUGAGGUAACGGCUCACCAAGGCGACGAUGCGUAGCCGACCUGAGAGGGUGAACGGCCACACUGGGACUGAGACACGGCCCAGACUCCUACGGGAGGCAGCAGUAGGGAAUCUUCCGCAAUGGGCGCAAGCCUGACGGAGCAACGCCGCGUGAGCGAGGAAGGCCUUCGGGUCGUAAAGCUCUGUUGUCGGGGAAGAACGGCGCAAAGGGGAUUUGCGUGUGACGGUACCCGACGAGAAAGCCCCGGCUAACUACGUGCCAGCA
rnacentral:rRNA from 1 species